UCCCUCACAACUCACCGAAUUGAUUCGAUUUGGAAAUGACAUUGUAUUCAGAGGAUUGACUUUUGUCUCUCUCAAGGGCUUGUGAUGAUACAAUUCACCUCCUCAUUGGCUGUUCUUUUUGAAGAAAACAAAACUCCGAUUUCUGGAUGGAAUUGAGCUUGUGGUCCACAUGGGAGGGGCGAGAGGCCUUACGGUGGAGUGGACUUUGCUUUUCUCACUUACCAGUGACCUGGGUGUCUUGCCGGGCACAUGAUGGCCACUCAGCCCUCGGGCCCUUCCCUUUCCUUUGGCUCAACCUUCCUUUGGGAGAGGAUUUUGCCUCCUCGGAGUCUUUCCUACCAGGAGUCACAGGCCUUCUGUUAUAAGUUAAAGGAGGUCUGAAGAUGGGAUGAGAGGGAGAACGACCCCGUGACCUCCCCUCCACUGUCCUGCAGCCCAGCCCGGGGACCUCCCCAUCCCCACCAGCAUCUUUGCCAACUUCCAAUGAAUUCAGAGCCCUCUGCAGCAGGGGAUCUAAAUUUAGACCCUGUGCUCUGUUAACUCGGUGAAUAAUGCUAAUUAGCAUAACAAUUCUUCCUGCAAUUAAGCUGGGGAGGGGGA
rnacentral:lncRNA from 1 species